rnacentral:rRNA from 1 species
CGUGACGGCGCGAGCAGGUGCGAAAGCAGGUCAUAGUGAUCCGGUGGUUCUGAAUGGAAGGGCCAUCGCUCAACGGAUAAAAGGUACUCCGGGGAUAACAGGCUGAUACCGCCCAAGAGUUCAUAUCGACGGCGGUGUUUGGCACCUCGAUGUCGGCUCAUCACAUCCUGGGGCUGAAGUAGGUCCCAAGGGUAUGGCUGUUCGCCAUUUAAAGUGGUACGCGAGCUGGGUUUAGAACGUCGUGAGACAGUUCGGUCCCUAUCUGCCGUGGGCGCUGGAGAACUGAGGGGGGCUGCUCCUAGUACGAGAGGACCGGAGUGGACGCAUCACUGGUGUUCGGGUUGUCAUGCCAAUGGCACUGCCCGGUAGCUAAAUGCGGAAGAGAUAAGUGCUGAAAGCAUCUAAGCACGAAACUUGCC